rnacentral:rRNA from 1 species
GGAAGUAAAAGUCGUAACAAGGUCUCCGUUGGUGAACCAGCGGAGGGACAUUACAGAGUUGCAAAACUCCCUAAACCAUCGUGAACGCUACCUAAACCGUUGCUUCGGCGGGCGGCGCCCUCGCGCGCCCCCCUGGGGCCCGCACCGCGGGCGCCCGCCGGAGGUACACCAAACUCUUGAUAUGUUAUGGCCACUCUGAGUCUCCUGUACUGAAUAAGUCAAAACUUUCAACAACGGAUCUCUUGGUUCUGGCAUCGAUGAAGAACGCAGCGAAAUGCGAUAAGUAAUGUGAAUUGCAGAAUUCAGUGAAUCAUCGAAUCUUUGAACGCACAUUGCGCCCGCCAGCAUCCUGGCGGGCAUGCCUGUUCGAGCGUCAUUUCAACCCAUCAAGCCCACGGCUUGUGUUGGGGACCUGCGGCUGCCCGCAGGCCCUGAAAACCAGUGGCGGGCUCGCUAGUCACACCGGGCGUAGUAGCAUACGACCUCGCUCAGGGCGUGCUGCGGGUUCCAGCCGUAAAACGACCUUCAGAACCCAAGGUGACCUCGGAUCAGGUAGGAAGACCCGCUGAACUUAAGCAUAUCAAUAAGCGGAGGA